AGGGAAUCUUCCGCAAUGGACGAAAGUCUGACGGAACAACGCCGCGUGAGUGAUGAAGGUUUUCGGAUCGUAAAACUCUGUUGUUAGGGAAGAACAAGUACCGUUCGAAUAGGGCGGUACCUUGACGGUACCUAACCAGAAAGCCACGGCUAACUACGUGCCAGCAGCCGCGGUAAUACGUAGGUGGCAAGCGUUGUCCGGAAUUAUUGGGCGUAAAGCGCGCGCAGGCGGUCUUUUAAGUCUGAUGUGAAAGCCCACGGCUCAACCGUGGAGGGUCAUUGGAAACUGGAAGACUUGAGUGCAGAAGAGGAGAGUGGAAUUCCACGUGUAGCGGUGAAAUGCGUAGAGAUGUGGAGGAACACCAGUGGCGAAGGCGACUCUCUGGGCUGUAACUGACGCUGAGGCGCGAAAGCGUGGGGAGCAAAC
rnacentral:rRNA from 1 species